rnacentral:rRNA from 1 species
GUCAGCUCGUGUCGUGAGAUGUUGGGUUAAGUCCCGCAACGAGCGCAACCCACGCCCUUAGUUGCCAGCAUUAAGUUGGGCACUCUAGGGGAACCGCCGGUGAUAAGCCGGAGGAAGGUGGGGAUGACGUCAAGUCCUCAUGGCCCUUACACGCUGGGCUACACACGUGCUACAAUGGCGGACAAUGGGCUGCUACCUCGCGAGGGGAAGCUAAUCCCAAAAAGCCGUCUCAGUUCGGAUUGUUNUCUGCAACUCGAGAGCAUGAAGGCGGAAUCGCUAGUAAUCGCGGAUCAGCAUGCCGCGGUGAAUACGUUCCCAGGCCUUGUACACACCGCCCGUCACACCAUGGGAGUUGGAUUCACCCGAAGGCGUUGCGCUAACCCGUAAGGGAGGCAGGCGACCACGGUGGGUUUAGCGACUGGGGUGAAGUCGUAACAAGGUAACC